AUACGUAGGGGGCAAGCGUUAUCCGGAAUCAUUGGGCGUAAAGAGUGCGUAGGUGGUUUCUUAAGCGUGGGGUUUAAGGCUACGGCUUAACCGUAGUUCGCCCCAUGAACUGGGAGACUUGCGUGCAGGAGGGGAAAGUGGAAUUCCUAGUGUAGCGGGGAAAUGCGUAGAUAUUAGGAGGAACACCAGUGGCGAAGGCGACUUUCUGGACUGUAACUGACAAUGAGGCACGAAAGCGUGGGGAGCAAACAGGAUUAGAUUCCCUGGUAGUCCACGCCGUAAACGAUGAGCACUAGGUGUCGGGGAGACAAUCCUCGGUGCCGCAGUUAACGCAUUAAGUGCUCCGCCUGGGGAGUACGUUCGCAAGAAUAAAACUCAAAUGAAUUGACGGGG
rnacentral:rRNA from 1 species